rnacentral:rRNA from 1 species
UACGUAGGAGACGAGCGUUGUCCGGAAUUACUGGGCGUAAAGCGCGUGUAGGCGGAUGAGCAAGUCUGCUGUGAAAGCUCCCGGCUUAACCGGGAGUAGUCGGUGGAAACUGCUCGUCUGGAGGACGGUAGAGGUAGGUAGAAUUCCCGGUGUAGUGGUGAAAUGCGUAGAGAUCGGGAGGAAUACCUGUGGCGAAGGCGGCCUACUGGGCCGGACCUGACGCUGAGACGCGAAGGCGUGGGGAGCGAACGGG